GAAGACGGCAGUAGGAACUAAAAUGUUCUCCAAGACCUUUGUCUAAAGUCACAGAAACUAGAAAUGGUCAAGGCCUGAGGACAUCCUCUUCCUUCUUGGUUUGCAGCAGGUUACUUGGAAUGCAAACAAUCUAUGUAAAUGCACCCUAUGGCUGCAGUUGCUGUGACAAAAGAAGAAAUGAUAAGGAAGGGGAAACUAAACUGUAGAGGUGAAGCAGCUUCUCAGGUUCACAUCAAAGCAGUGGCAAGAUGAGGAAUAAACCCUGUGGUCUGGUCUUCUGUCCCAACCGCUACACUUCAUGCAUCCUCCACGCCCGUGCAAGUUACAGGAGUUGCAUUAUGACUA